GAUGAACGCUAGCGGCAGGCCUAAUACAUGCAAGUCGAACGGAUAUAUGUUUUUUCGGAAUAUAUAUUAGUGGCGCACGGGUGAGUAACACGUACAUAACUUGCCCUCAAGCGGGGGAUAGCCCUUGGGAAACUGAGAGUAAUACCCCAUAGAAUUAUUGGACGGCAUCGUUUGAUAAUUAAAACUACGGUGUUUGGGGAUAGAUGUGCGUCUGAUUAGCUAGUUGGUGAGGUAACUGCUCACCAAGGCGACGAUCAGUAGGGGGCGUGAGAGCGUGGCCCCCCACACGGGGUACUGAGACACGGACCCGACUCCUACGGGAGGCAGCAGUUAAGGAAUAUUGGUCAAUGGAGGGAACUCUGAACCAGCCAUGCGCGUGAAGGAUGACGGCCUCUGGGUUGUAAACUUCUUUUGGAUGGGGCGAAAAAACGGGAUUUAUCCUGGACUGACGGUACCAUC
rnacentral:rRNA from 1 species